rnacentral:rRNA from 1 species
UACGUAGGGUGCGAGCGUUAAUCGGAAUUACUAGGCGUAAAGCGUGCGCAGGCGGUUAUGUAAGACAGUUGUGAAAUCCCCGGGCUCAACCUGGGAACUGCAUUUGUGACUGCAUCGCUGGAGUGCGGCAGAGGGGGAUGGAAUUCCGCGUGUAGCAGUGAAAUGCGUAGAUAUGCGGAGGAACACCGAUGGCGAAGGCAAUCCCCUGGGCCUGCACUGACGCUCAUGCACGAAAGCGUGGGGAGCAAACAGG